UUCACUGUUUUAUCAGAAAAUCUGAAAAUUAAAAGCUUCAAAAAAAAAAAAAAAAGGGGCGGGGGAUAGCAUUUAGCAAUGAGAGAAGCUUUCUUUGGGAUUUUUUCAUUGUUAUUUAUUGCUUAUUUCAGUGAAUUAGCUUCAUCUAACAUUGUUUUUAAGCCCUUAUCAAUUUCCUUGCCGGACCUUCCCGCCAAAUUCGCUAUUGGGAAUAACACGGGCGUUUGUGGUGCUCUUGAAGUGGCGGAUCCAUUGGAUGCUUGUAGUCCGCUCCGAAACGAUUUCGGAUCUAACCAAAGUGAAGCUAUAAGAUUUGCUUUGAUAAUUAGAGGGGAUUGUUCUUUCGAGGAGAAAAUCCGAAACGCUCAAAAUAAGGGUUUUUCUGCUGCAAUUGUUUACGAUGAUAAAUAUAGUAACAAUUUAGUAUACAUGAUGGUGAACCCUAAAGGAAUCAAAGUGCUAGCUGUUUUUGUGUCUAAAUCUGCUGGUGAAUUUUUAAAAGAUCAUGCUAAAGGUGAAAAUGGGGAAUGCUGUAUUUACCCACCAUUGAAUGGGAAAGCAUGGACUGUUUUUGCUAUUUGUUUCCUAUCACUUGUUGUUAUAGCAGCUUUCUUGGUGAUUGCCUUUGUUGCUCCUCGAAGCUUGUCGAAUUGGCGACGAAGGAAUUUAGUGAGACGUGUUGAUAGUAAAGUGGUUGAAGCUCUUCCUUGUCUUGUGUUUGGUUCGGCCCGUUCGAGUAUUGCCGGUGAAACUUGUGCGAUUUGCCUCGAGGAUUAUAAUGAUGGGGAGCUUCUUAAAGUGCUUCCUUGUCAACAUGAUUUUCAUUCAAGCUGUGUAGAGUCAUGGCUGACUAAGUGGGGGACUUUCUGCCCUGUAUGCAAACUCGAUAUGACAACCAAAUUUGCAUUUUCCAAGCUAGAACUAGGCCUAUUGUGACGUGAUGGCAUUUGGUGGUGAAAAACAUCACUCGAAUGGCUGGUCUUAUUAUCCUUGUAGCAUCUAAUGAAGACAUAUUUUGUCAGCAUUUCUCUCCUUUAUUGCAAAGAUAAGGAUCUUGACCUGACUUACCUUAUUGUUUUACUUUGCUAGAACUAGUCCUUAUUGUGACAUGAUGGCAUUUGGUGAUGGAAAACAUGACUCGAAUGGCCAUUUUGUCUACAUUUCUCACCUUUAUUACAAAGAUAAGAAUCUUGAACCGACGUACCUUAUUGCCACUGAAAUCUGUUUGUCUUCAUUCGACAGAUCAAGCGGGGCAGCCGAGUUUAGAUUCAAUAAUCGAACAUGAUCUUUUGGCUUGGUCUUCAAUUUUGGUGUGCCGCUUUCUCCUUGCAAUGGCCAUCCCUAUCAGAAGUGUGUUUCUGCACCCUUUGUCUCUUCAAAAUCAUGCACAAAACAUUUGGGAAACGCUGAUGCAGCCGUCUGGCCAUUGUAUUCGUUGCCAUCUCUCCGGCAUCAAAUUGAUCCGCUGGCAUUGUGGUGUAUAAUUUUCAACCGGAAGGGUCAAAAACCGAACAGUCUUCCCUGUAUGAAUGAUGUUCUUGUACAUGGUUAUUUUCUCAUUUAGUCCAAGAUGGGUGAUUUAUGAAGAAAAGUUCCCUGGUUGGAUGAUAUAUUCAUACUAGUGUUGUAGUAAAAUAGUCAUUUCCAUGUAAAGCAUGAAACAAUAAAGGUGCAAUCAAUCAAUUCAACGGUUCAUUAUUCCCAAAA